AACAUUUAGGUUUUUUCUUUUCUAUUAUUUGGCUUUAAGAGUGCGCAUCACUGAUUGACAAAAUGAGCAACACUAUUGCCUUGGUUAGGGCUGAUCAGCUGUCUUUGGCUCACUCUGCCGCAAUUAGGCGGGAACAAACUCACUGAUGUAUUGCUACAAUCCGAGUCGUCUCACGGUCUCCCGGCUUUGAUUUCCUGGGUCCUGAGUCCAGUUGGCCGAUUUCCUCCUUGAUGGUGGCGAUGAAUAGUUCCGCCUGUUGCUGCCGCUGGUUUGUAUUUUGCGCAUGCGCAUGCGGUCCCUUUUUUUCUCUUUUCUCCCCCCUUUUUCUUCUUAUUUUUCUGAAGAUGGUCCCCCAUCGAUAUCCCUCGCCUAUCGAUAUAUUUGCCGACCAUAACACCACACUACGGUUUCGAGGUUCAUUUCAGAGAAACAGGAGUGCAAAAGGAGACUAUCUUUGCCCAACGGAGGCCAUCGCCCACACCCUGGGAUUAAGAGCUUCAUGCUCUACCGACUGAGCUAGCCGGGCUCACACUGCAGCUGUAGGCCACAUCUGUGAUUUGGCCAAUCGGGAACUCCAGAGGUACGCACAUACAUCCAGUACCAGUCUUUAGCCUGCCCGUUCAUCAAUCCAUGGAAAUCCCUCAGUACAUCUGACGACGGAACUUGGUACAGUGACUGGAGAUGUUCCAACCGGAAGAUAAAUUCCGCCACCGGCAUUCCCUUCGGGUCUCCGUCGAAGAUCAGGCCUCACCUUCGGAUGUGACUGCUCUCUUGCCUCGUAUCCCAACCGGAAGAUAAAUUCCGCCACCGGCAUUCCCUUCGGGUCUCCGUCAAAGAUCAGGCCUCACCUUCGGAUGUGACUGCUCUCCUGCCUCGUAUUCCCGAUGCUCGUGCGGUUUCCUUGAUAAUGUCCACUCUCAUUACCCGUUUGUUGCAUCCAGCACGAUACGGGAACUUGUCGUUGUUCGGCUUGUUUCUGAUGUUCCGAUUCCAACGCUCAUCGAGCGUGGAUAAUCAUCCACAAAAAGGUGAGUAGGUGCAGGUGGUCGAUUAAUUCUCGCCUCUCUCUCUUCUUUUCUAUUAUUUGGCUUUAAAAGUGCGCAUCACUGAUUGACAAAAUGAAGAACACUAUUGCCUUGGUUAGGGCCGAUCAGCUGUCUUUGGCUCACUCUGCCGCAAUUAGGCGGGAACAAACUCACUGAUGUAUUGCUACAAUCCGAGUCGCCUCACGGUCUCCCGGCUUUGAUUUCCUGGGUCCUGAGUCCAGUUGGCCGAUUUCCUCCUUGAUGGUGGCGAUGAAUAGUUCCGCCUGUUGCUGCCGCUGGUUUGUAUUUUGCGCAUGCGCAUGCGGUCCCUUUUUUUCUCUUUUCUCCCCCCUUUUUCUUCUUAUUUUUCUGAAGAUGGUCCCCCAUCGAUAUCCCUCGCCUAUCGAUCUAUUUGCCGACCAUAACACCACACUACGGUUUCGAGGUUCAUUUCAGAGAAACAGGAGUGCAAAAGGAGGCUAUCUUUGCCCAACGGAGGCCAUCGCCCACACCCUGGGAUUAAGAGCUUCAUGCUCUACCGACUGAGCUAGCCGGGCUCACACUGCAGCUGUAGGCCACAUCUGUGAUUUGGCCAAUCAGGAACUCCAGAGUACAUCUGACCACGGAACUUGGUACAGUGACUGGAGAUGUUCCAACCGGAAGAUAAAUUCCGCCACCGGCAUUCCCUUCGGGUCUCCGUCGAAGAUCAGGCCUCACCUUCGGAUGUGACUGCUCUCUUGCCUCGUAUCCCAACCGGAAGAUAAAUUCCGCCACCGGCAUUCCCUUCGGGUCUCCGUCGAAGAUCAGGCCUCACCUUCGGAUGUGACUGCUCUCCUGCCUCGUAUCCCCGAUGCUCGUGCGGUUUCCUUGAUAAUGUCCACUCUCAUUACCCGUUUGUUGCAUCCAGCACGAUACGGGAACUUGUCGUUGUUCGGCUUGUUUCUGAUGUUCCGAUUCCAACGCUCGAUUAUCCACAAAAAGGGAUGAGACUACUUCCCUAAUUUCUCGCAUGAAACUUAACAGGCUGGCCUCCAUUGUCUCUUUAAAAGCGCUCAAUUCCUGGGACAGCGAUGCUCUGUAGGUCUCGUGCGCUUGGGCUACCGCUACAUUAAUAGCCGACUUCAGCUCACUGGGUAGCUCCACUUCGCUCCUGGUUUGUUGCGUUGAUGACGAGGUACCCGCUACAUCGUCUCGGCUACGCAUUCCGAUUAGAGAAGUACUCUCCAUUUCUUUGGUGGGUUUGGUAUUUUGUGUACGGGUAGUUGGACGCAUUUUCUCUUGCCCUCUAUCCCUCUGAAAGUCCCCGCUACGCCGCACUUUCCUCGACUGCCUGAAUACCCCUUCGCUCAUGUGAUUCUUAAUUUUCAAUAUGUUUCAACAUUCAACAAAAAAAACGUAUAAUUAUUUAAC
rnacentral:tRNA from 13 species